AGCAGCCGCGGUAAUUCCAGCUCCAAUAGCGUAUAUUAAAGUUGUUGCAGUUAAAAAGCUCGUAGUUGAAUUUCAGGCCUGGCUGGGCGGUCCGCCUUUUGGGUGAGUACUGCCUGUGGUCGGGUCCUACCUUCUGGCGAAGCGUCAUGGCCUUAACCGGCCGUGGCGGGGAACCAGGACUUUUACUGUGAAAAAUUAGAGUGUUUAAAGCAGGCUAACGCCUGAAUACAUUAGCAUGGAAUAAUGAAAUAGGACGAUCGAUCCUAUCUUGUUGGUUUCUAGGAUUGACGUAAUGAUUAAUAGGGAUAGUUGGGGGCAUUAGUAUUCAAUUGUCAGAGGUGAAAUUCUUGGAUUUAUUGAAGACUAACUACUGCGAAAGCAUUUGCCAAGGAUGUUUUCAUUAAUCAAGAACGAAAGUUAGGGGAUCGAAGACGAUCAGAUACCGUCGUAGUCUUAACCAUAAACUAUGCCGACUAGGGAUCGGAUGAUGUUAAUUUUUAAUGACUCAUUCGGCGCCUUA
rnacentral:rRNA from 1 species